CCGCGCAGCAUGUGACCUUCCU
rnacentral:miRNA from 1 species